CCUACGGGUGGCAGCAGUGAGGAAUAUUGGUCAAUGGACGCGAGCCUGAACCAGCCAAGCAGCGUGAAGGAUGACUGCCCUACGGGUUGUAAACUUCUUUUAUAAGGGGAUAAAGUGAGGCACGUGUGCCUUUUUGUAUGUACUUUAUGAAUAAGGAUCGGCUAACUCCGUGCCAGCAGCCGCGGUAAUACGGAGGAUCCGAGCGUUAUCCGGAUUUAUUGGGUUUAAAGGGAGCGUAGAUGGGCUGUUAAGUUAGUUGUGAAAGUUUGCGGCUCAACCUUAAAAUUGCAAUUGAUACUGGUAGGCUUGAGAACAGUUGCGGUAGGCGGAAUGUGUGGUGUAGCGGUGAAAUGCUUAGAGAUCACGAAGAACUCCGAUUGCGAAGGCAGCCCACUAAACUGCCACUGACACUGAGGCUCGAAAGUGUGGGUAUCAAACAGGAUUAGAUACCCCAGUAGUC
rnacentral:rRNA from 1 species